rnacentral:lncRNA from 1 species
GUUGAUGUCUUUCAUGUAUUUUAAAUAUAUUUAUUGUCUCCAAAUACGAUUUAUCUUUUCACUGUUUUUCUCCUCCACUUUUAGGGCUCCAGUAACAUGUCUAUAGAGACCAACAGUGUCACUCGUGGCUGUUACAUUCUUUUCUAUAUUUUCUGUAAUUUUGCUUCUCUACUUUAAUUAUUUUCACUUCACUUUUUUUCCACUUCACUAAUUUUCUUAUUUGUCUAAUCUACUAUUAAGCCUUUUACUAAGUUUAAAAUUUCAUAUGUGAUCUUUCCUAGUUCCUUAGCUUUCCACUUGAUUCUGUUUGUAUAGAUAUUAAUUUUCUAACAAAGCUCUCUUAUUUGUGUGCUACUGUGUCUCUCUGUCUAUCUCUUUUUUUUUUUUCUUUUUUUGGGGCGUGUGAACCCAGGGGCACUCUGCCAUCCCCAGACCACUCACCUCCCAUUUUGUUGUUGUUUUAUUUUUAGUUUGGAGAUAUUUUGGAGAUUGGUCUGGCUAUAGUUGCUAGAGUGGGCUUUGAACUUGUACUCCUCCUAUUUCAGCCCCUCAAAUUGCUAAGAUUGCAGGCAUGUGCCAGUAUGUCUGUCUACAUUUCCUUUCUAAUUGAUCACAUUUGUCAGUUACUUUAAGGUUUUUCUGCCAACUGCAUUAUCUAGAUCACCCAUGGUUCUGUUCUAAUGCCUAUUUCUCUUUCUUACUUCAGUUUUAUAGUCUUAAUUCUUUGCUUGCUUGCUGAUUUUUGAUUGACUCCCAUGUAGUGAAGUUUGCAUAUGGUAGUAACUAUCCUUUAGUAAAGGGGUGUUGAUGAUAAUGGAGAAUGGUUUCAAAAAAUACAUAGAGCUGGGUGUUGUGACACAGAUCUAUGAUCUCAGCAACUUUGCAAGACCUUAUCUCAAAUUUUAAAAGGGGGCAUAGAAUGGGGCUUAGUAGUAAAGUGCGCUGGGUUCGCUCCACAGUUCUAAGAAAAAGACAGAAAAUACAGCCAGAAACAUUUGAUAAAAAACUGGAAACAGAAGGAAAGAAAGAAUAGAUGUCAAAGACUGCUUGAGUUUAGGGCUUGGUGUAUGGGUAGAUAGGUAGAUGUAGCAAAGGAGAAUUAAAGGGCUAGCUAGUGAGGAGCUAAAGGACUGGAGGAAGUUUUCCUACAUUGAGGAACAGGAAAUAGAGCAAUUCAAGUGAGUCCUGGCAUGACAGAUCAUUUAAGGACUAACAGGUUUGAACUCUGAAGUGCAGUGUGUUCUUUUGACAGGAAAAUAAUCUAUUUCAAGAGGGGUAGCUGUUAUCAGGCUAAUGUGAGGGUCUGUAAUUCUGUUGUGCGUAGCAUCUGUUCUUUAGUAUGCUCCGGUGGUGGACCUUGCCAGUCAUACCCUGGAGCAAGCACUCUUACUUCUUUGCCUCAUUUUAGACAAAGAAAAAGAACAGAUGAUGAGAGUUUUUAACGUCUAAGCCCUGGUCUGAAAGGUAUUUUUUUAUUCUCUUGUGCAGAGGUAAUAGAGGUGGUAAAUAUGUGGAUCUUUAGGGCAGUUUUAUGUCAUUUCAGAAAACUCAAGUAGAGACAGUAAGCAUGGCCAAAAGUGCCCAUCUAUGUGACUUUGUUCUUUGAAAGUUUGAGAAAAAUUAAAAAAUUUUGUUCAGUCUGCUUAAAGGUGUAUUCAAUGAGGGCUGAGGGCUGAGACUCAGUGGCAGAACAUUGCUUAGCAUGCUCAAGGCUCUGGGUUCCAUCCCCAGCACUGAGGGGGAAAAAAAAGAUAGAUAUAGACAUAUGUAGAGAUAGAUAUUUUAAAUGAGUUAAAUGUUUGAAACUCUAGUGAAUAUUCUUCAUAAAUGGAUUCUUUCUUUAACUAAAAAAUUCCUUUUAUUCUGUAGAAGUGGGUACAUGUGCCCACCUGAAGUUGUAUAUAAGUAUUAUUGAAAAUGAAAAGGGAUGCAGUUUUAAGUAUUGUGUAGUACCAACAUAUACUGAAGAGAUUAUUCAAAUGAGUCCACAUAUAUCUCAGCCUAGCUGUGAAUCAGCAUGUUUUGUAGGAAAUUACAUAGUUUCUGAAACUACAUUUCUGUUGUUUUUAAAAAUACCUGAGGCUGGGCACAAUGGUGCAUACCUAUUAUUCCAGAGACUCUGGAGGCAAAGGAUCCUACAUUUGGGGCCAACCUCAGCAGCUUAGACCCUAUCAAAAACAAAAUAAGAAAGGCUGAUAAGGGGGCUGGAGUUGUGACUCAGUGGU